rnacentral:rRNA from 1 species
AUUGUUUUUUAAUUAAAACUAGAAUGAAAGGUUUAACGUUAAAAUUAUUUUAUUAUAAAUAUUAAUUUAAUUUUUAUUAAAUAUAAAAAUAUAUUUAUUAAAUAAAUAGACGACAAGACCCUAUUGAACUUUACUACUGUUUAACUGGGGAAGUUAAAUAAUAAUCAUUUUAUUUAUUUUUAUACUAAAAUUUUCUAAUCUAAUUAAAUUUAACAAGUUACCAUAGGGAUAACAGCGUAAUAUUAUUCUAAAGUUCUUAUUUAAAAUAAUGUUUGCGACCUCGAUGUUGAAUUAUUUUUCUAUAUAUAUAUAAUGCAAUAAUUAUAAAAGUAGGUCUGUUCGACCUUUAAUAUUUUACAUGAUUUGAGUUCAAACCGGUAUAAGCCAGGUUGGUUUCUAUCUUUUUUAUUAUUUUUCUAGUACGAAAGGACAAAAAAAUAUAUUAUUAAUAAUAUAUUAGCAAAUAAUUGCAUUAGAAUUAGAAUCUAAUUAUUCUAAAUUAUUAUUAUUAAUUCUAUUAUUCCAAUAAUUUCAAUUCUUAUUAGAGUAGCAUUUUAUACAAUUUUAGAACGUAAAUUUUUAAGAUAUAUUCAAAUUCGAAAAGGACCUAAUAAAGUAGGAUUUUUAGGAAUUUUACAACCAUUUAGAGAUGCUAUUAAAUUAUUUAAUAAAAAUUUAUUAUGAUCAGAAUUUAUAAAUUUUUCAUUAUCAUAUAUUAUACCUGCUAUAUCUUUAUUUUUAGCAUUAAUAAUUGUAUCAUUUAUUCCCAUAUAUAAUUAUUCCCCUUUUGAUAACAAACAUAAUAUUUUAUUAUUCUUUAUUAUCUCAAGCCUUUCAGUAUAUU